AAAAAAAUAACAUCAGAUCAAGCUAAAAAAGGGCGUAUCUUGUAAACUCAAGUAAACAAAGCUUCUGGGUACAGGUGUCAGCUCUUUGACAAAAUACUUUUUGAGCUGACAAAAUAGAUACUAGCUAGACUAGACUGUGAUUGAGCUGAAGUAACUCUGCGGAUCAGGGCUAUACACUUAUCUUGCAGCUACUAGAGUCCCUGGCCGCCCCAGGCCAGGGCAGGUCAGGAAGGUCAGGACAAUGGCAGCAAGUAAUGAUCUGGGUCAGCAACUCUAUUGGGCUUCCCGUGAUGGUCGUGUGGACGAGGUGGAGAGGCUGCUGGCUAGAGGAGCUCCUGUCAACUGGAGGAAUAUUGGUCUAUUUGGACAGACCGCUCUACAUAUAGCAUGCAUCAGCAACCACCACAGCACUGUUCACAGUAGUUUUCAAACGUUUGCAAUAUUGUAGUAUGGUUAGUAUACCAAUAGUUUUCAAGUGAUCUGUACGUAGGGUUGUCCAUUCUUGAGUACGACACGAAAACGUGCAGUUGCCAAACGUUGGACAGGAUUACUUAGUUGCCCAAGGUUGCCAAGCUUGCAAAUGCAGGCCCCGCCCACACAACUACAAGUGUCAAUGAUUGGGUGGAGCCUAACCACUGUUGUCUCCGCCCAACUACACAAAUGCACGUGGCUCAGUCCCAGUGUGCUAAAUAUUAACGGUAGACUAAAACUGAUUCUCUAUGCCCCAGAAGAAUCUAUACUGACAACUACUAUAAUAAAUCUACUAACAUCACUUGCUAGAAACUACAAUAUCUUGGAGGAGGCCGAUCAAUGGAAGAUACUCACUAGGGUUGACUGAGGGUGAUAUUAGGCGUCAUUUAGAAGAAUCAACCCUGGAGGUGGAGGGGAUGUCGAUAGUGUUUCUAAGGUUAAAACAUGGUUGAAGUCAACUCCUCCUCAGCAAUUGUCUGCAAGGCGAGUGCUCAAUUUCCCAACUCCAUCAUCUGAAAUAUCGUCUAAGAAAUCAAUUGAGCAUAUCUGUAUGUAAAGGAAAAGAUACCGAUCAAAAAAAAGUACGAACAGAUUAGAAGGCAGUGGGCAGUUGACCAGAAGGAAAACAGUGAGGAGCUUAUUGAAAACAAAAGCAGAAAUAGCUGGUACAGGGCAAGACGCCUCAUGAAAUUUCAGAAUCGUGGAAUGUGUGUGAAACCAACAGAGAGUAAAUAUUGGAGCCAAUUGAAUAUGCUGUACAUAACUGAGGAGUCUGACGAUGGGGAAGACAAAUCUGUAAUAGUGGAGCAUAAACUUCAGUGGCGAUCACAAAAGCUCAAUGAGUAUAUGAUGGAAUUGGACAGCCGUUAUGAGACAAAGAUUAAAAAAGAUGAUGGUGCAGUAAUGGCUAAAAAGUCAAGAAAGCUUGGCGAACCUUCCACAAGUCAUGUUCCACACAAAUGGGCUAUCAUGAGUAAGUACAUGCAAAGAAAUUGUUUAUGGCAGGCAAUCUGUUCAUGAGUAGUUAGCUAGAACACCUGUUACGCUGUAACGAGAAUCACGCCUCGGUCGGUUGCGCAUACGCAGUAAAUUGCACACUGUAACGUUUCGUUAGCUUGCCGCCAUUAAUCCAAUUUAGCAACAAUCAUGGUCGAUAGAGGUGAGAUGUAUAUCGAUGCCUGCCAGAUUGCCUCUACCAAAGACUUCAGCUUGAUGACGUGACUUGUAUCUAUAGGGACACAGUUAAUACACAAUGGGUAACUCAAUCUCAACUUACAUGGGUUGGUCUCUUCACCAUUCCCUGCAUGUAACUUAAUAAUCCUGCUGGAAACUUCACCUCCCCCCCCCCCCGGUGCUCUCAUAAUUAUGUCAAUCUGAUUCUGAAGAAACAUUCGAACUUUAGACCUCUUAUCAAUCCAUGUAACAUUUCACUUAUUUAUUCUCCCAUUGAUCUUUUGUGCGAUGUACGUCAUGCUUGCUAAUUAUCAAUUCAAAGUAUUGUUUCUAAUUAUAAGA